rnacentral:rRNA from 1 species
AUUGAACGCUGGCGGCAUGCCUUACACAUGCAAGUCGAACGGUAACGGGCCUUCGGGUGCCGACGAGUGGCGAACGGGUGAGUAAUGUAUCGGAACGUACCUUUCAGUGGGGGAUAACGUAGCGAAAGUUACGCUAAUACCGCAUAUUCUGUGAGUAGGAAAGCAGGGGAUCGCAAGACCUUGCGCUGAUUGAGCGGCCGAUAUCAGAUUAGCUAGUUGGUGAGGUAAAGGCUCACCAAGGCGACGAUCUAUAGCGGGUCUGAGAGGAUGAUCCGCCACACUGGAACUGAGACACGGUCCAGACUCCUACGGGAGGCAGCAGUGGGGAAUUUUGGACAAUGGGGGCAACCCUGAUCCAGCCAUGCCGCGUGAGUGAAGAAGGCCUUCGGGUUGUAAAGCUCUUUCGGCCGGGAAGAAAUCGUAUGGGUUAAUACCCUGUGCGGAUGACGGUACCGGCAUAAGAAGCACCGGCUAACUACGUGCCAGCCGCCGCGGUAAAAC